UCUCUGUGCUGGUUCAUCGUGAAACAUUGGAUGUCGUCUUCAUGGUACUCUUGAGUGUUUUCAUGUUGGUUUUCUGGAUCUUUAUUUCUCAUCUGCUGCCUGUGAGCUGAACUACACCGCUAUGGGAGCCAUGAUGGGAAUGAUCUGAAGAGUGUGAAAUGAGCCACAUAUUGUUUACUGCAGAAUAGGCAGGCCAGGAGCUGUUUCCCCCUCCAAGGUCCACUGUUGAUAACAGUCUGUUAUUGUGGUCCGUUGUUUAACAGUCAAUAGAGCAGAAAGUGAUGACACCCUCCAGCUCCUGAGAUUAUGACUGAAUGACUCAGCCGGAGGAUCCAAACGUGACAGAUAUAAAUGGAAAUGUCAGCGGAGGAGCAGCCAAUCCUCAGCACGAGAUAAUGGCUGAUCUGCUGGGGAUUUCCCGGAGGGGUCUUGUCGCUAACCCCCACAUCCUCAAUUACCCACCCUCCAACAGCCCCCCAGAUGGUCCCCACACUGCAAACAUGCAGCUCCGAAGAAGGGUUCAGCUCCGAAAGAGAUCUAUAUUUCACAUUGCAAAUGCUCUUCCAUCCUCAGGAGCUCUAAAAUAGCUAACCAUGAUAUGUUAAACUCACCUGUUCAGGCACAAACAAGCAGGAAU